GUCUAUGGCCAUGCCACCCUGAAGACGCCCCAUCUUGUCUGGUCUCAGAAGCUAAGCAGGGUCGGGUCUGGUUAGUACUUGGAUGGGAGAAAUUCAACCCCUCUAUUAC
rnacentral:rRNA from 1 species